rnacentral:lncRNA from 1 species
CUCAUGUUUCCCAUCACCAGCUCCAAAAUUAAGUGGUUUCACUGGCAGCUUUCUUGAGCAGGACAUGACAUGGCAGUCCCUUUGCUGAUGCUGCCAGCCGCCGUGAUGUCCUGCACUGCAGUUAUGCUGCAUCUCUUCCCCACUCUCUGCUUGCUCCCAGAGACAGGAAUUCCUGCUCAAACAGGUACGUGCGAGAGGGCCGCUUCCGCAUCGAGGAGAGGACGCUGACGGCUUUCCAGUGGCUCUACUCGCCCCAGCAGCACCGCAUCGUCAGCAGGGCAGACCUGGGCUCCCCCAGCAGCAGUUUUGCUCCAAGAUCCCUUAAAGCCCUGAAGUAUUUAUCUGCCUGGAACUGCAUGGAUGAGAACAGCAGUGGGAGGGUGGCUGCAGAGGAUGGAGGUGCCCAAAAUCCACUUGGAUUUCCCAGGACAGGAAGGGCUGUGGGUACUUUUCAUGCAGGGCAAGCCGGGUGGGGUGGAAGGACGUGACAUUCACACCUGGGACAGGUGACAUUCACACCUGGGAGGGACUUCCAGGGGCACGAUGAGGUGCCGGCUGUUGCCGGCAGGAGCCACGGCAGACACGCUGCCUGCUGCCAUCUGCUUCCCGCGACGGGAAUUCCUCUGCCUGCCUCUGGAGAGGCUUUCCAGAAACUGGAAUGACUGUGCUGUUUAUUGAUUUUAACUAAUUUUUGCAAAUUGCUUUCAGAGGUUGUGUUAGCCCGGCGCCUGAUGUGCAUGUCUCAUUUGGCACGUGCAACUGAAAUGCGUGUAACAUCAUUUAUAAUUGAUGUUGAGUGCUGUUGGGGUUAAUUUCACUAGAUUCAUUUGAUUUCCCGAGGGCGUUAAUUUCCCUGGAUUCCUUUGAUUUCCCAGCGGAAAAGUUACCUGGAAGCUUCCCCUGGGAAGUUACCUGGAGCCGUCUGGAGACUCUGUAGGAUACCAACGACCAAUUAUGAGUGGUGUCUGUGUCUCUCUCAUGGGAGUAAAAUNGUCAGCGGGCAGGGACAGGCCCCGGGGGCUGCUUGUGCCACCAUCCGUCCUUCCCGGGCUGCAGAGGAGCUGAGGGAUGCAGCCUCUGCCGGCAGGUCUGGACGUGGCCAAGGGCCUGUGCUGGGUCAGCCCGGGUCCCUUCAGCGCUGGCUGAUUCCCAACGGGAGCUGCAUCCCGUGUGCACUGGAGUGAGCCUGAACGCUGUGCCCUUCCAGGGUGGCCACGGGAGUGCUGUGGGACCACAGCUUUCCUCCGCCACCCCCAAGUCAAUUAUUAGGGGGAUUUUUCCAUUUAAUUUAUAAAUGAGUUUAACUUUGCCUCAGAUAUUAUUUUUCAAUCUAAUUGAAAUGUAGUGUAUGUGUGCCUUCUAAUUGCUUUGAAGAACCUAAUAAGAAGCUCCUUAAAGUCUAAAGGCUAAAAGCUGGAGGAUUUUAAUAAAUUUAACAUUAGCUUAACA